GUUAAUGUACUUCAACAUAUACUGAAACUGGAAUGAUACAGAAAAGAUUAGCAUGACCCAUGCACAAGGAUGGCAGACAAAUUUGUGAAGUGUUCCAUAUUUUU